UAGGGAAUCUUCCGCAAUGGACGAAAGUCUGACGGAGCAACGCCGCGUGAGUGAUGAAGGUUUUCGGAUCGUAAAACUCUGUUGUUAGGGAAGAACAAGUACCGUUCGAAUAGGGCGGUACCUUGACGGUACCUAACCAGAAAGCCACGGCUAACUACGUGCCAGCAGCCGCGGUAAUACGUAGGUGGCAAGCGUUGUCCGGAAUUAUUGGGCGUAAAGCGCGCGCAGGUGGUUUCUUAAGUCUGAUGUGAAAGCCCACGGCUCAACCGUGGAGGGUCAUUGGAAACUGGGGAACUUGAGUGCAGAAGAGGAAAGUGGAAUUCCAAGUGUAGCGGUGAAAUGACGUAGAUAUUUGGAGGAACACCAGUGGCGAAGGCGACUUUCUGGUCUGUAACUGACACUGAGGCGCGAAAGCGUGGGGGAGCAAAACAGGAUUAGAUAACCCUGGUAGUCCACGCCGUAAACGAUGAGUGCUAAGUGUUAGAGGGUUUCGCCUUUAGUGCUGCAGCUAACGC
rnacentral:rRNA from 1 species